rnacentral:rRNA from 1 species
CCUACGGGCGGCAGCAGUGGGGAAUAUUGGACAAUGGGCGAAAGCCUGAUCCAGCCAUGCCGCGUGUGUGAAGAAGGCCUUCGGGUUGUAAAGCACUUUCAGUGGGGAAGAAAGCCUUGGGGCUAAUACCCUCGAGGAAGGACAUCACCCACAGAAGAAGCACCGGCUAACUCCGUGCCAGCAGCCGCGGUAAUACGGAGGGUGCGAGCGUUAAUCGGAAUUACUGGGCGUAAAGCGCGCGUAGGCGGUCUGAUAAGCCGGUUGUGAAAGCCCCGGGCUCAACCUGGGAACGGCAUCCGGAACUGUCCGGCUAGAGUGCAGGAGAGGAAGGUAGAAUUCCCGGUGUAGCGGUGAAAUGCGUAGAGAUCGGGAGGAAUACCAGUGGCGAAGGCGGCCUUCUGGACUGACACUGACGCUGAGGUGCGAAAGCGUGGGUAGCAAACAGGAUUAGAUACCCUAGUAGUC